CAACAGUCCCGCACCUGGAGGGCGUCCAGGUCGGCGCUGAUCACGUCAUCGAUCUCCCUGCAAAUUACAGAGAUGCGCAGUGUGAAGUCGGCUUCGUCGCCCACGCGGGAGGCGCUGGGGACCACCAGGUAGUGGCCGGGCGGCAGGCGGCAGCGGCGGCUCACGUCGCGGCGCGCGCAGAACACCGAGCGGUCGGCGCGCAGCAGUCCCGGCAAGAGCGCGCGGCUGCGCGGGGAGUCCCAGAGGCCCAGCAGCUGCGGGCGGGGCGCCAUGACCACCACCCACCCGAGCUCCCCACCCAACCCUCUGGUCCUGCCCACACACCCAGACUGUCUAGCCAGGCCCUCCCGUGUCCCCGGUCUCCCAGCGCUGGUCGACCAAGCCCUAGGGUGGGUCUAAGGUCACAUCUGAAACCCACCUCCUCGGGAAUCUGCAGAAAGAAAAAGCCAGUAAGGGGGUGGGGCGCAAUGUGCAGAUCCCCUCCCUGCCCCCACCCCUCACACCCCCUCCUUCUUUCUAGACCCUUAAUAUUUCCCCACCCUAUUCUCAGACCUAGGUCCCCCCCACCCCUUCCCCAACCCUUUCCUUCCCACCUGUGCCCGCAUCCCGUCCCAGUCCCUUUGGUCACCUCCUGCCCUCUGACCCUCAGCCUUUUCCUCCAGUUCUCUCAACAAUGGCGCUCCUCUCUGAACCCCCAGUACCCUCUUCCCUUUAGGACGCUCCUGUGACCCUCUGCCUCUCCAGACCUCAACUUGAUCUUGGCCUCACCUGGAACACGUGGAAGCCCACAGUGAGGCUCCAGCAGCGUCAGCCGGAACUGGGGAUUGGUCCAGAAGGUUUCUAACAAAAGAGAAGGAGGUGGAGUUCCCAGCCUGCCGAGGCCGACCCCCUAAGCUUACUUCUUCGGGCCCCCAGGCCUCACCAGCGCUGGGCUGGCUCCCGCCGGAGUUGAAACCUUUCACCCAGCGGCCUUGGAAGGUGUGGAUGUGCCAGCCUCCGCCGGCAGGGCUGGGACCUAGCACCUCAGGGCUCAGUGAACAGAUCUGGACCGUGUUGAAGUGUGUGAGGAAGUCCUGAAGCUCCAUCCUGGACAGCACAGAGCGUGAGAGAUGCCCGGCCACCCCAGAGCCCAGCUUGAGGGACCCCAGAAGUGGUCCCCACCACAAAGCUCCCAGUUCCUUAAGUACGGCCAAUUAAGCUCCAACCUCCAGAAACUCUGAAGCCUCGAGGCCUCGCCAAGGCAUCCAAGUCCUCACAGAUGCCCCACUUCUGAGCAUAUUUACAAACUCCUCCCAAAUAUCUUCAAAUUAACUUUAGAAAAUCCUCAAGUAGGGCCAGGAAGAUGGCGGAGCCAAUGAAGCCUGAAGUUGUGGGAUAUUAAACUGUAUAAGGUUGUUA